UAAAGAUUUGUGGGUUAGGGGACACGUUUACUGAUGAAGAGGUUGAGCAUGUUAGUGGAGUUAUUGACGUGAAUAGUAUCCGUUUAGCCACCCAUGGACAUGGUGUGUACGCUAAAACAGCAAUUAUGUCGCACUCGUGCCUUUCCAAUACAAAGUCUCUAAUGAAUGAGGACGGUACUGUUGAUAUAAGAGCUGUGGUUGAGAUUAGACCAGGAGAUUAACUAAUCCUAUGUUAAGUCUCUAAUGAAUGAGGACGGUACUGUUGAUAUAAGAGCUGUGGUUGAGAUUAGACCAGGAGAUAAACUAAUCCUAUUUUAAGUCUCUAAUGAAUGAGGACGGUACUGUUGAUAUAAGAGCUGUGGUUGAGAUUAGACCAGGAGAUUAACUAAUCCUAUGUUAAGUCUCUAAUGAAUGAGGACGGUA